AACGCGAAGAACCUUACCUGGCCUUGACAUCCUGCGAACUUUCUAGAGAUAGAUUGGUGCCUUCGGGAGCGCAGUGACAGGUGCUGCAUGGCCGUCGUCAGCUCGUGUCGUGAGAUGUUGGGUUAAGUCCCGUAACGAGCGCAACCCCUAUCCCUAGUUGCUAGCAGUUCGGCUGAGAACUCUAGGGAGACUGCCGGUGACAAACCGGAGGAAGGUGGGGAUGACGUCAGGUCAUCAUGGCCCUUACGGCCAGGGCUACACACGUGCUACAAUGGCGCGCACAGAGGGCUGCAAACCCGCGAGGGGGAGCUAAUCUCACAAAACGCGUCGUAGUCCGGAUCGCAGUCUGCAACUCGACUGCGUGAAGUCGGAAUCGCUAGUAAUCGCGAAUCAGAAUGUCGCGGUGAAUACGUUCCCGGGUCUUGUACACACCG
rnacentral:rRNA from 1 species